GAGGAUUUAGCUUAAUUAAAGUGGUUGAUUUGCGUUCAAUUGAUGUAAGAU
rnacentral:tRNA from 1 species